GAGAAGAGCGGCGGACGGGUGAGUAACGCGUGGGUAACCUGCCCUGUACACACGGAUAACAUACCGAAAGGUGUGCUAAUACGAGAUAAUAUGCUUUUAUCGCAUGGUAGAAGUAUCAAAGUUUUUGCGGUACAGGAUGGACCCGCGUCUGAUUAGCUAGUUGGUAAGGUAACGGCUUACCAAGGCGACGAUCAGUAGCCGACCUGAGAGGGUGAUCGGCCACAUUGGAACUGAGACACGGUCCAAACUCCUACGGGAGGCAGCAGUGGGGAAUAUUGCACAAUGGGCGAAAGCCUGAUGCAGCAACGCCGCGUGAGCGAUGAAGGCCUUCGGGUCGUAAAGCUCUGUCCUCAAGGAAGAUAAUGACGGUACUUGAGGAGGAAGCCCCGGCUAACUACGUGCCAGCAGCCGCGGUAAUACGUAGGGGGCUAGCGUUAUCCGGAAUUACUGGGCGUAAAGGGUGCGUAGGUGGUUUCUUAAGUCAGAGGUGAAAGGCUACGGCUCAACCGUAGUAAGCCUUUGAAACUGGGAAACUUGAGUGCAGGAGAGGAGAGUGGAAUUCCUAGUGUAGCGGUGAAAUGCGUAGAUAUUAGGAGGAACACCAGUUGCGAAGGCGGCUCUCU
rnacentral:rRNA from 1 species